rnacentral:antisense_RNA from 15 species
CGGAGGGCUUGUAGCUCAGUUGGUUAGAGCGCGCGCUUGAUAAGCGUGAGGUCGGAGGUUCAAGUCCUCCCAGGCCCACCAGUUUAUCCAUUACUUUCAUAAGUGCUUUUAAAAAAUAAGUACUUCUAAAAAGAUUGCUUCUAAAAAGCUUAUCAAAAUUGGCAGGCUUAUUGCUUUUGUGUGAGUAAUCCAAAGUUAAAGCAAAUUAAUGGCAAAAAAACAGUUCAAAUGCUAAAUACUAAGGAGUCAAAAUUCCUUGCAAAGUGAUUUUUACAGCGUCCAUUUGGUUGAUAUAAAUUCCAAAUGCUCAUAGACGUCAAUGCCUAUAUGAAACUAUCGGUUCAAUCAUAU